rnacentral:rRNA from 1 species
GUCUGACCUCGGAUCAGGUGGGAUUACCCGCUGAACUUAAGCAUAUCAAUAAGCGGAGGAAAAGAAACUAACAAGGAUUCCCCUAGUAACGGCGAGUGAAGCGGGAUGAGCUCAAAUUUGAAAUCUGGUAGUCUUUGGCUGCCCGAGUUGUAAUCUAGAGAAGUGUUUUCUGUGC